UACAGAGGGGGCAAGCGUUAUUCGGAAUUAUUGGCGUAAAGGGCGCGUAGGCGGCUUUCAAGUGACGGGUGAAAGCCCUCGGCUUAACCGAGGAACUGCCUGUCAGACUGAAGGCUGAGACCGGGAGAGGUGAGUGGAAUUCCCAGUGUAGCGGUGAAAAUGCGUAGAUAUUGGGAGGAACACCAGUGGCGAAGGCGGCUCACUGGACCGAACUGACGCUGAGGCGCGAAAGCGUGGGGAGCAACAGG
rnacentral:rRNA from 1 species